rnacentral:rRNA from 1 species
GGCUGCAGAAAUUUUAACUGUACAAAGGUAGCAUAAUAAUUUGUUUUUUAAUUAAAAACUAGAAUGAAUGAUUAAAUGAAAUAUAAACUGUUUCAAUUAAAAUAAUAUUAAAAUUUUUAUUUAAGUUAAAAAACUUAAAUAUAUUUAAAAGACGACAAGACCCUAUAGAAUUUUAUUUAUAUUCUAAAUAAAAAUUUUUAUUUAUUUAUUUAAUUUAAUAUAAUAAAUUUAAUUGGGGUAAUUUAAAAAUUUAAAAAAUUUUUUUUAUAAAAAACAUUAAUUAAUGAUUAUUUUAUCUUAAAUUUUAAAUUAUUAAAAUUAAUUACCUUAGGGAUAACAGCAUAAUUUUUUUUAAAAGAUCUUAUU